rnacentral:rRNA from 1 species
CUCCUACGGGAGGCAGCAGUGGGGAAUAUUGCACAAUGGGCGCAAGCCUGAUGCAGCAACGCCGUGUGAGUGAAGAAGGUUUUCGGAUCGUAAAACUCUGUCCUAAGGGAAGAAACAAAUGACGGUACCUUAGGAGGAAGCCCCGGCUAACUACGUGCCAGCAGCCGCGGUAAUACGUAGGGGGCAAGCGUUAUCCGGAAUCACUGGGCGUAAAGGGUGCGUAGGCGGCUUAGCAAGCCAGGGGUGAAAGGCAUUGGCUCAACCAAUGUAAGCCUUUGGAACUGUUAAGCUUGAGUGCAGGAGAGGUAAGUGGAAUUCCUAGUGUAGAGGUGAAAUUCGUAGAUAUUAGGAGGAACACCAGUGGCGAAGGCGACUUACUGGACUGUAACUGACGCUGAUGCACGAAAGCGUGGGUAGCGAACAGGAUUAGAUACCCUGGUAG